rnacentral:tRNA from 1 species
GCCUGCGUGGCGGAACGGUAGACGCACCGGCCUUAAAAGCCGUUUCCCUUCAAGGGAGUACGGGUUCAAAUCCCGUCGCAGGUAC